rnacentral:rRNA from 1 species
GACGAACGCUGGCGGCGUGCUUAACACAUGCAAGUCGAGCGGUAAGGCCCUUUCGGGGGUACACGAGCGGCGAACGGGUGAGUAACACGUGGGUGACCUGCCCUCAGCUCUGGGAUAAGCCCGGGAAACUGGGUCUAAUACUGGAUAUGACUCCACGGUGCAUGCCGUGGGGUGGAAAGCCUUGUGCGGCUGAGGAUGGGCCCGCGGCCUAUCAGCUUGUUGGUGGGGUGAUGGCCUACCAAGGCGACGACGGGUAGCCGGCCUGAGAGGGCGACCGGCCACACUGGGACUGAGACACGGCCCAGACUCCUACGGGAGGCAGCAGUGGGGAAUCUUGCGCAAUGGGCGAAAGCCUGACGCAGCGACGCCGCGUGAGGGAUGACGGCCUGGUGU